GAUGAACGCUGACAGAAUGCUUAACACAUGCAAGUCAACUUGAAUUUGGGUUUUUAACUUAGGUUUGGGUGGCGGACGGGUGAGUAACGCGUAAAGAACUUGCCUCACAGCUAGGGACAACAUUUGGAAACGAAUGCUAAUACCUAAUAUUAUGAUAAUAGGGCAUCCUAUAAUUCUGAAAGCUAUAAGCGCUGUGAGAGAGCUUUGCGUCCCAUUAGCAAGUUGGAUAGGUAACGACUCACCAAGGCGAUGAUGGGUAGCCUGCUUGAGAGGGUGAGCUGCCAAAAGGAGACUGAGACACGCCCCGUAAGGAUAGGUGAGGAAGCAGUGGGGUAUAAUGGCCAAUGGACCCGGAUUCUGAUCCAGCAAUUCUGUGGUAACGAUGAAGUUUUUCGGAAUGUAAAGUGCUUUCAGUGGGGAAGAAACAAAUGACGGUACCAACAGAAGAAGUGACGGCUAAAUACGUG
rnacentral:rRNA from 1 species